AACGAUUAUUAACACUGUGGUGUACUGAUUACAAUUAAUUACAUCGCUGGACUCCGGCAUAGACGUGGUCAUUGACAGUGGUUCGAUAGGUACGUUUUUUGCAUUUUGCGUUUUACCAACGACGCAAUUAAAACAUUUUAUACGUACCGGAAAGACGUUUAUAAAAAUAAUAGGACUGCCCAAGUAUAAUCCGAAUCCCUCGAAUGACGUCCCCGUAAAAGUAAACAUGCUUUAGAUUUUGGGCUCGGAAUGUAUUGGAUUUACUAAUGCGUGUUAGCUAGCGAGUAUUUUUUUGUUCUGACUAAAAAACUUUUCUACCAGAUACCCUGGCAAAUCUAGUUUACGGCCU